rnacentral:rRNA from 1 species
UACGGAGGAUGCGAGCGUUAUCCGGAUUUAUUGGGUUUAAAGGGUGCGUAGGCGGACUGUCAAGUCAGCGGUAAAAUUGAGAGGCUCAACCUCUUCCCGCCGUUGAAACUGGUGGUCUUGAGUGGAUGAGAAGUACGCGGAAUGCGUGGUGUAGCGGUGAAAUGCAUAGAUAUCACGCAGAACUCCGAUUGCGAAGGCAGCGUACCGGCGCCCUACUGACGCUGAGGCACGAAAGCGUGGGUAUCGAACAGG